UUGCCACAGGAGGUUAUCGGCAGAACCUCCAGUGGUAUAUAAAAUCGAGUAAUGAGAAGAGAACUUAGUUCAGUGAAGUUUUGAAGACUCACACUGUUAUAUUCUUAUUCUCUCAUUCAGUAAGUUUGCACAGGAAAAAGGUCAAUUUUGAGAUUUGGUAAGUAGUUUUUUUAAUUAUUAACAAGUGAAGCAUCCAUCCACCCACACGUACCCCUUUUAGUCGACUAUAAGAUCAACAUUUAUCCUCGGUGACUAAAACAUCGAGUUGUAUUUUAUUAGAAUGACUUUCCUACAUUUACGGUUGUUGGCUUUUGUGCUCUGCUCUUUCUGUGUGGCCGUGCACGCCGGCAACGUAGACAUUAAAGGUUUUACGACUCUGUAUGGAAUGACCGGCUGUCUCAGCGAUCCAACAGAAGGAUGUGGCAGAUCGGGUGAUAUCUGCUAUAACUAUCGCGUUGAUUACUACGCUAUUUCCGGGACGUCUCCAAUCUGCAAUGCCUGUAUGCCAAAGGAUUUCCGAAGCAUAGCUAGCUUUGAAUAUCCCCUUAAUCUGCCCUGUGCUAUUUGGAGAUUCUAUGGUUGUGAUGAUGCCUUUGUGACUUUUAUCUGGAAUCAAUCGGGAAACAACGGAUGUUAUUUGGGUGGCCAAAAAUCUUACAACAUUAAAAACUUUUUCAGUAGCGCCGGCGAGGCUGAAAACAGAUUUGUCACGGCAUGUCGCGAACAGAAAACGUUAGCUGAUUAUGGAUUGCCCGAAAAUACGCCACUAAUCAACGAAGAAGAUUUUUGCUUCCCCCUAAGGAACAA